AAAGGUGCAAGCCACAAGGCACAAACUUAAGUUUCAAAACCUACAAAACAAACUCAAGGUUAGUCAUAAACAAGCAAUGGACCAAUUCCAAUUGAGUGCACAUCAUCAAGCAUAAGCAAUUGUGCUCUUAACCUGAAACAAAGCUCAAAUGUGAGAGCACAAACCACUAGUCCAAGACUAGGGUCAAAAUGGGAGAAAUAAAUCAAAACAGAACAUGAAACUUAUCAAAAG
rnacentral:lncRNA from 1 species